ACGGGUGAGUAACGCGUGGGAAUCUACCUGAUACUACGGAACAACACAGGGAAACUUGUGCUAAUACCGUAUACGCCCUACGGGGGAAAGAUUUAUCGGUAUCAGAUGAGCCCGCGUAAGAUUAGCUAGUUGGUGGGGUAAUGGCCUACCAAGGCGACGAUCUUUAGCUGGUCUGAGAGGAUGAUCAGCCACACUGGGACUGAGACACGGCCCAGACUCCUACGGGAGGCAGCAGUGGGGAAUAUUGGACAAUGGGCGAAAGCCUGAUCCAGCCAUGCCGCGUGAGUGAUGAAGGCCUUAGGGUUGUAAAGCUCUUUCAGUAGGGAAGAUAAUGACGGUACCUACAGAAGAAGCCCCGGCUAACUUCGUGCCAGCAGCCGCGGUAAUACGAAGGGGGCUAGCGUUGUUCGGAUUUACUGGGCGUAAAGCGCACGUAGGCGGAUUGUUAAGUCAGGGGUGAAAUCCUGGAGCUCAACUCCAGAACUGCCUUUGAUACUGGCAAUCUAGAGUCCGGAAGAGGUGAGUGGAACUCCUAGUGUAGAGGUGGAAUUCGUAGA
rnacentral:rRNA from 1 species